CAGCAUGGACUUGAUCUCAAGCAGCUUCUCCAUUAUCAAGAGCUGGAGUCAUGUGAGUGAUGAUAUUACAGGAUACGAAGGGGUGACAAGGAGGUAUACCUAAAGCAUCAAAAGGGAGAGUUCUACAACUUCCCCAGGGAUCUGUCAUGAUGCCGCUCUUCCCAAAUAACCCGGCCCAUCACUUUCAGCCAUUCUGCCAUGAACAGCUUUGCACUUGAGGCCAUGGGAAUUCAGAAUGCGAAUCUUCCUCAGAGCUACGUGUGGGUUUCAUCACAUGGCUCUGCAUGGAGAAAUGACCUCAUCCCAGACUGCUUGUUCAGGUGGCUGCAGAAUCUUGCCAAGUUUUCUCUAGAACACU
rnacentral:lncRNA from 1 species